ensembl:lncRNA
CAACAAACAAAAAAUGCUAGCUAGCAACUUGUAAACAAUUACCUAUUCCUAUAAGUACUAUUUUAAUAGUAAUGUUAAAUAAUACAUAUUGGCUGCUAAGCCAAUUAUAUUAUAUGAUUGUUGCCUCCCUUUGAAGUUGAUUGUGAUGGUAGGUGGAGGUUGUUAGCUACAAUGGUAUCUUCAACCUAGCCUAGCUUUUAGCUGGGCCUCCACCACUGCGCACACACCAGUCGUUACCAUGACAACUAGUGUAGUCAUGUCAGCAAAUUACUGCUGUCUGAACACACAAAUCAGAUUUGGUAGCCCUUAUGCACAUUCCAUGAUUGAAUGUUCUAAACACACUUCCUACUGGCGUGGCAAUUUCCGGUGGCGCAUACUAUAGAACGGAAGUCAGUCUAGUUGUUAUCGACGUUACUACCACUAUGUCACAGGUUUUUACUGUGUCUUCAGGACUUGCCUCAAAUUAAUAUUAAUGACGUACAUCGAAUUGUUAAAUCAGCCUCAGACUAGCAAGAAUGAAAAGGGGUUCAAGAUGUAUAUAGGAAGCUACAUAGACAACUAUGAAGGUGAGUACCAAGUCAGUGACAGAUAUAACGUUAGCUAGCUACAAUCAUAUUGGCUCGCUAAUUUAACUAUUAACUGUAGCUAGUUACUUCGUAAAAUGAUGUAACGUUGACAGAAUCUACCUGAGAAUGUGUGUAUUUUCGUUAGCUUGGUUAAGCUAUGCUUGCUAGCUAAAAAAAUACUUGUUAUUCAUGUCUUCUAUAUAGUAUCUAACAAAGGUACAUUGACAGGGGAGAUCACCGUGAGGGCUGCCUGUCACAGGUCCAUGAGGAAUAGUGAAAAGCCGCACAGCAUGAGAGUAGGGAAAGAUUAUAGAUAGCAACUAGGGACCUUGUUAAACAUCUGCUGUGGGACACUGUCAUCAUCGUCAAAAUGUGUUGGAGACAGUGUCAACGUUUAAUCUUAGCAGUAGAUAGAUAUUAAUGAUUGGUCCCAAUCCCAAUUUAGAAUUGCCCACUUAACAGCUUAUUUGGUAAAGAUCUGUUGAUGCAGUGGUAAUUGUGUUACCGAGACACAAUGUAUUCCUGUAUAGUUAAAUUAGCCCCUAGUUAAGAAGACUAGACACUACUAUGUUUAUUAUUUAUGGACCGCAUCAUUCUUGUUUCUCACUUAUCUUAUCUUCACAGAUGGUGUUAAAGCACGCCGUACCAGUGAUAGUGGUCCAUAGCCACUGCUCCUGUGUUGCAGGAAGUUUUAUGUGCAAUCAUCUGGUGGCCCUUCUUUACCAGACAGCGCACUACUCUCAACUAAACAUUCCUGCUGCACCACCAGUUUACAGCUGCACAGACACAGAACAGUGUUGGCACAAGCCAAUAUUCAUAAAAAAUGCACUUGAAAAGUAUUCAGCCUAUGUAACAGUAAAUCCUUGUUAAUUAGGGUGGGAAGCCAGGUCUUGUUGAUGGGAUAGAGUUCUGUAAACCUACUAACUCAUGUGCUGAAGGAAUAAGGUAAGUUGGAGGUUACUAGAAUGGAAACAUUUUAGAAAACAUUUUGUGAUUUUGUUCAGAUGGUGCUUGUGUUACUUUACUCUGCAGAUCAUUCUUUCAACAUGCACUCUCAGCCUGGCAAUGGAUUGGGUCUCCCUAACCUAAUGCGCUGGCAUCUGUGUGCAUCUUGACAGAAAGGCUGGCUGGUAGACCUUGCACUGAACAAUGUCAUCUACGAGGAAGCCCUCCACUAUAAUGGCCAUGUCAGGGGUACAGUGUCUUGUAGGAAGAAAACACCUCACUCUGCAGUAGGAGUGAAGAUGGUGUCUGCCAGCGGAGUUCAGUGCAGUCGAUCACUACCUGGGUGUCUGGAUAGUCCUUGAACUCAGGUGGCCUUUGAUGGUUUCCUUGGGGAUCCAUAUCCGUGUUGAUCCAAGCAGACAGGGCAAGAAUACUAAUGUUGAUUGAUGGAUGCUGAACCAAUGGGCCAAAUCCUUCUGCUUCAGACCCAAUGACAGAUGAGUCAUAAACAAGAAGAACUUGUCGAUUGAUGGCAGUGAUGACUGUUUUAGUACAAUACAGUCCUUAUAUUCGAUCCAUAACAAAAAGUAAAUAAUGUUUAACAAUUACAGUAAGAUCAAAUCAUAUCUUAAGUAUUUAAUGAAGUUGUCCCUUACCGGUUUUCUUAGAGGUACACUUGUUUCAGAUGGAUUGGUGCUUGUGACUCUUAUAAACUUGGUUUCUGCUGCCCGCUCAAUCAAGUGCCAGAAGGCCAUCAGGUGGGUGUAGCUUGCAAAUCUAAAGACAGACCCAGAGUAUUUGAAUACCACAAAAGCUCAUUACUAUUCUUGCCCAUCUUCUCUAAGCAUCAAGUAGCACUAGACAUGACCUAGCUGCUAUUGUAGCCUGUUUUUCUUGUUACUGCAAUUCGUACUGUAAUUCACAGCAGUGAAUUUGUUUUAAGUGUUCCGUUAUUUAACCUGGGAAGUGGACUAAGAACCAAAUCUUAUUUGCAGCAAUGACCUGGGAGCAUUUUGGGGGGUUAACUGAAACCAAAUGUAAAGACAAUAUACAUUCAAUGUGCCUACUUAUGCUAAGAUAUGCUAGCCUCGUUUUAAAUAACAAUGAACAUGUUCUUAAAGUUAAGAUGGACUUUGGGAUAAUAAUAAUUCAUAGUAAAUAAUAAUCAAUAGUAAUGUUGGAUAAUAACAAAUCAUGACUGUACCUUGUGUAAAAACGUAUAUCCUUGUCAGCUCACUGGUCACCAUAGCAGCACCCACCCAUAGCACGCGUUCCAGCAGGUAUAUCUCACUGGUCACCCCCAAAGCCAAUUCUUCCUUUGGCCGCCUCUCCUUCCAGUUUUCUGCUGCCAAUGACUGGAACUAACUGCAAAAAUCACUAAAGCUGGAAAAAAAUCACUAAACUCUUACCUCCCUCACUAGCUUUAAGUACCAGCUGUCAGAGCAGCUCACAGAUCACUGCACCUGUACAUAGCUCAUCUGUAAAUAGCCCAUCCAAUCUACCUCAUUCCCAUACUGUAUUUAUUUAUUUAUCUUGCUCCUUUGCACCCCAGUAUCUCUACUUGCACAUUCAUCUUCUGCACAUUCUACCAUUCCAGUGUUAAAUUGCUAUAUUGUAAUUACUUCACCACCAUGGCCUAUUUAUUGCCUUACCUCUCUUAUCCUACCUCAUUUGCACAUACUGUAUAUACAUUUUUCUACUGUAUUAUUGAUUGUAUGUUUGUUUAUUCCAUGUGGAACUCUGUUGUUGUAUGUGUCGAACUGCUUUGCUUUAUCUUGGCCAGGUCGCAGUUGCAAAUGAGAACGUGUUCUCAACUAGCCUACCUGGUUAAAUAAAGUUUAAAUAAAAACAUUUUAAAUUAAAG